rnacentral:lncRNA from 1 species
AUAUUUUAUGACUAUGAGUAAAAUGGCUAAAAAUUGUAGUGAACAGAGUAGUUCACAUGCAUACUUUCAUUAAUGAGGAAAAUUGUUCUUAUUUCAUUCUCCUUGUGCCAGUGUCUUUGUGUGCAUGAGUGGGUUUGUGGGAGGUGAAGAGCAGAGGGAGAAAAAGAGAGAGAAGAGGAGGGUGAGAGAGAGGAACAGAAGACCUGGCUGUACUCCUGAAUAACACUGACUUCUUCUAGGAAAGCACUCUGAAGCCAAGUUGAAACAUUAUACUCUCAGGCAGUAGUAGAGAUCAACCUCUUAAAACCAAAUCCAUGGGCCCAGGAGUAUGGAAAAGAGUUCAAUAAAAUGGCCUUAACUGGUAUAAGAAGUUACAAUUGUUAAAAGGAGAUUCAGCUGUGAUAGCAAAAGAGAAAGAAAAUGAAAAAGUUGUCCUGGCUCAUCUCUGGAAAGACAUGAUAUUUCAUAACCUCAAGGUGUUUGCUUCUGACCUAUAACUUCAAUUAUAGACCAGGUUAUCCAAAAGUUCUCCUUAUUAACAAGAAUUAUCAGUCUGAUACGUGGUAAGUAAGUGGUUUCUAGGUAUUUAAUAUGCCUUUUCCUGAUAACUAAUUUGCCAGAUAGAUUUUCCAAAAAUGGUUGCAACAAUAUCUCCCAUCCCUGAUUCUCUUCUUAAAUAUGACUUUGACAACUUUUCUAUCAAGAGGUAGGGUCUAUAUCCCCUUCCCUUGAAACUAAGAGGGUCUGUGGUUAAGGCAGAACUGACACUCAGUGACUUUUGAGCUAAGUCAUAAAAGAUGAUACAACUUAUGGCUGGUUCUGACUCAAUCUUGGAACCCAGCCAUCAUGUUGUGAAGAAUCUCAGGACAUUUACAGAGGCUUCAUAGGUUUCUGGCAGACAGCUCCAGCUUACAACAGCAUCAACCAACAGACUUGUGAGUGAAGAUGGCUCCUGAAGGUAUCAGCCCCCCGCUGUCCAGUCACCUCCCAGCUUUUGAGUCUUUCCAGCCGAGACCCCAGACACCAAGGCACAGAGACAAACGUCUGCAUUGUAACCUGUCCAAAAUUCUGACCCACAGAGUUCUUGGCAUAAUAUAAUGAUUGUUUUAUGUCACUAAAGUUUGGAGUGGCUUGUCACAUUGCAAUAAAAAAUUGCAACAACGAAGGAGGUUGAUUAUCUUUUCAUGCUUAUUGAUCAUUUGCAUUUCUUCUGUGUACUGUCUAUUCACAAAUUUUGCCUGUUUGACUCUUGGGUUAUUUGUCUUGCUCAUAUUUUCUGCAUAUUAAUCCUACUUUUGUUACCUAUAUUGCAAAUGUAUUCAACCAGUUGCUUGCUAGGUAAUAGAGAAAUUUGAGUUUUAUGUAUCCGUUCAUUGUUUUCAUUUUUUAGUCUUGGGGUUUUGUAUCUUU